GGGGAACCUGAUGCAGCCAUGCCGCGUGUGUGAAGAAGGCCUUCGGGUUGUAAAGCACUUUCAGUUGUGAGGAAAGGUUGGUAGUUAAUACCUGCCAGCUGUGACGUUAACAACAGAAGAAGCACCGGCUAACUCCGUGCCAGCAGCCGCGGUAAUACGGAGGGUGCGAGCGUUAAUCGGAAUUACUGGGCGUAAAGCGCACGCAGGCGGUUUGUUAAGCUAGAUGUGAAAGCCCCGGGCUCAACCUGGGAUGGUCAUUUAGAACUGGCAGACUAGAGUCUUGGAGAGGGGAGUGGAAUUCCGGGUGUAGCGGUGAAAUGCGUAGAUAUCUGGAGGAACAUCAGUGGCAAAGGCGGCUCCCUGGCCAAAGACUGACGCUCAUGUGCGAAAGUGUGGGUAGCGAACAGGAUUAGAUACCCUGGUAGUCCACACCGUAAACGCUGUCUACUAGCUGUUUGUGAAUUUAAUUCGUGAGUAGCGAAGCUAACGCGAUAAGUAGACCGCCUGGGGAGUACGGCCGCAAGGUUAAAACUCAAAUGAAUUGACGGGGGCCCGCACAAGCGGUGGAGCAUGUGGUUUAAUUCGAUGCAACGCGAAGAACCUUACCUACACUUGACAUGCAGAGAACUUUCCAGAGAUGGAUUGGUGCCUUCGGGAACUCUGACACAGGUGCUGCAUGGCUGUCGUCAGCUCGUGUCGUGAGAUGUUGGGUUAAGUCCCGCAACGAGCGCAACCCUUGUCCUUAGUUGCCAGCAUUUAGUUGGGCACUCUAAGGAGACUGCCGGUGACAAACCGGANGAAGGUGGGGA
rnacentral:rRNA from 1 species